rnacentral:rRNA from 1 species
GGCACUCCCCUCCCCCUUUUUCCCCGUCUUUGGGGUCUCUGGGGCCGCUUUUUCACAAGGACCUUGAGGAACAUGAAUCUCAGAGACUGAGCUUGGGGCCCGUGUUGCCUUUGCAGGUGAUGCAGCCCGAGUCAAAAACCAAAAUAACGACUCUCAGCAACGGAUAUCUUGGCUCUUGCAACGAUGAAGAACGCAGCGAAAUGCGAUACCUAGUGUGAAUUGCAGAAUUCCGCGAAUCAUCGAGUCUUUGAACGCAAGUUGCGCCCGAGGCUUGUCCCGAGGGCAUGCCUGCCUGAGCGUCACCGCACUCUCACCUGGACACUCUCCAGUGUGGAAUUGGCCGUCCGGGACCUGGCUUGAAGCUGCGCGUCUCGGUGGGCUGAAAUUUAGCUAUCUGGGUGCAGCCAAAGAGAGAGGCCGCGAGAAGGUGAUUUGCUCUUUGCUGAGCAAAGUCUAAUUGGACAGCGCCUCUCCCUUUUGGUGAUCCGGAUGGUGGCACUUCACGUGUCGUUGGGGAGUGCAGGUAAUGUUGCAUCUUCCCUCCCCUAUUAGCUUGGACCUCAGAUCAGGCAAGAUUACCCGCUGAGUUUAAGCAUAUCACUAAG